AGACCCGAAACCCGGUGAUCUAGCCAUGGGCAGGUUGAAGGUUGGGUAACACUAACUGGAGGACCGAACCGACUAAUGUUGAAAAAUUAGCGGAUGACCUGUGGCUGGGGGUGAAAGGCCAAUCAAACCGGGAGAUAGCUGGUUCUCCCCGAAAGCUAUUUAGGUAGCGCCUCGUGAAUUCAUCUCCGGGGGUAGAGCACUGUUUCGGCUAGGGGGCCAUCCCGGCUUACCAACCCGAUGCAAACUGCGAAUACCGGAGAAUGUUAUCACGGGAGACACACGGCGGGUGCUAACGUCCGUCGUGAAGAGGGAAACAACCCAGACCGCCAGCUAAGGUCCCAAAGUCAUGGUUAAGUGGGAAACGAUGUGGGAAGGCCCAGACAGCCAGGAUGUUGGCUUAGAAGCAGCCAUCAUUUAAAGAAA
rnacentral:rRNA from 1 species